UACGUAGGGUGCGAGCGUUGUCCGGAAUUAUUGGGCGUAAAGAGCUUGUAGGCGGUCUGUCGCGUCUGCUGUGAAAAUCCGGGGCUCAACCCCGGACUUGCAGUGGGUACGGGCAGACUAGAGUGUGGUAGGGGAGACUGGAAUUCCUGGUGUAGCGGUGAAAUGCGCAGAUAUCAGGAGGAACACCAAUGGCGAAAGCAGCUCUCUGGGACGGUA
rnacentral:rRNA from 1 species